UACAGAGGUCUCAAGCGUUGUUCGGAUUCAUUGGGCGUAAAGGGUGCGUAGGCGGCGCGGUAAGUCGGGUGUGAAAUCUCGGAGCUUAACUCCGAAACUGCAUUCGAUACUGCCGUGCUUGAGGACUGGAGAGGAGACUGGAAUUUACGGUGUAGCGGUGAAAAUGCGUAGAUAUCGUAAGGAAGACCAGUGGCGAAGGCGGGUUGCUGGGCCGACACUGACGCUGAUGCGCGAAAGCCAGGGGAGCGAACGGG
rnacentral:rRNA from 1 species